rnacentral:misc_RNA from 1 species
UCUCCGUAGGUGAACCUGCGGAGGGAUCAUUACUGAGCGAGGGUCUCCCGGCCCGACCUCCAACCCUUUUGUGAACCACCUCGUUGCUUCGGGGGCGACCCUGCCGUUCGGCGCGGCGCCCCCGGAGGCUCAUCAAACACUGCAUCUCUGCGUCGGAGUCUUAAUGAAUUUAAACAAAACUUUCAACAACGGAUCUCUUGGUUCGGGCAUCGAUGAAGAACGCAGC